rnacentral:rRNA from 1 species
GAUGAACGCUGGCGGCGUGCCAAAUACAUGCAAGUCGAGCGGACUUGACAGAGCUUGCUCUGUUCAAGUUAGCGGCGGACGGGUGAGUAACACGUGGGCAACCUGCCCUGCAGAUUGAGAUAACUCCGGGAAACCGGGGCUAAUACCGAAUAACAUUGGAAACCGCAUGGUUUCCUUUCAAAAGGCCGCUUCGGCUGUCACUGAAGGAUGGGCCCGCGGCGCAUUAGCUAGUUGGUGGGGUAACGGCUCACCAAGGCGACGAUGCGUAGCCGACCUGAGAGGGUGAUCGGCCACACUGGGACUGAGACACGGCCCAGACUCCUACGGGAGGCAGCAGUAGGGAAUCUUCCGCAAUGGACGAAAGUCUGACGGAGCAACGCCGCGUGAGUGAAGAAGGUUUUCGGAUCGUAAAACUCUGUUGUCAGGGAAGAACAAGUAUGGGAGUAACUGCCCGUACCUUGACGGUACCUGGCCAGAAAGCCACGGCUAACUACGUGCCAGCCGCCGCCGUAAAAC